rnacentral:sRNA from 1 species
CACAACUGUGGUGGGAUACUUGCCAAAUGGGAGGUUUAAGGAGUUCAUGAGUAAACAUGUUCACUUAAUGUGUUACCGGAUCUGCGUGCGAGCGCUGACAGCCAUCAUCACCUAUCAUGACAGGGAAAACAGACCAAGAAACGGUGGCAUCUGUGUGGCCAAUCAUACCUCGCCGAUCGAUGUGAUCAUCUUGGCCAGCGAUGGCUAUUAUGCCAUGAGUGGGGAGAUUUGUGUGAAGAUGGCUUCACUACUAAUGAGUCCUGUGCCUGCACUUAGGUGGGUCAAGUGCACGGGGGACUCAUGGGUGUGAUUCAGAGAGCCAUGGUGAAGGCCUGCCCACACGUCUGGUUUGAGCGCUCGGAAGUGAAGGAUCGCCACCUGGUGGCUAAGAGACUGACUGAACAUGUGCAAGAUAAAAGCAAGCUGCCUAUCCUCAUCUUCCCAGAAGGAACCUGCAUCAAUAAUACAUCGGUGAUGAUGUUCAAAAAGGGAAGUUUUGAAAUUGGAGCCACAGUUUACCCUGUUGCUAUCAAGUAUGACCCUCAAUUCGGUGAUGCCUUCUGGAACAGCAGCAAAUAUGGGAUGGUGACGUACCUGCUGCGAAUGAUGACCAGCUGGGCCAUUGUCUGCAGCGUGUGGUACCUGCCUCCCAUGACUAGAGAGG